UACGAAGGGGGCUAGCGUUGUUCGGAUUUACUGGGCGUAAAGCGCACGUAGGCGGAUUGUUAAGUCGGGGGUGAAAUCCUGGAGCUCAACUUCAGAAUUGCCUUCGAUACUGGCUUUCUAGAGGCUGGAAGAGGUUAGUGGAAUUCCCAGUGUAGAGGUGAAAUUCGUAGAUAUUGGGAAGAACACCAGUGGCGAAGGCGGCUAACUGGUCCAGAUCUGACGCUGAGGUGCGAAAGCGUGGGGAGCAAACCGG
rnacentral:rRNA from 1 species